UUUAUAUGGAAGUGUAUAAUAGCGUAAAGUGGAAAAUAAGUGAAAAAUAUUCUUGAAAGAAUAAAUUUAUUUGAAAAAUAUACGUAUUAUACAUAUGUUGCAAAAAAGCUUUUCAUAUGUUAAAAACUAAUACAAUAGAAUGGAGUGAUUUUUGUUAGUAUUUUAAACUAUAAAUCAUAAACAGCAACCACACAAGAAUAUGGUCAUUUUUUAAUGUCGGGAACGCAUUCUACUCUAAAAAAACUUAUGACCCAACGAAACUUGAAUUAGGGUAUCCAUCGAAAAGAAAAAUCCUUUUCUCUUCUUUCACGGUUAUCCAUCGUCCGUGCUUAAAGUCCGCAGUUUCCACAGGAACGAAUUCGUGGGAUACCGCAAAUCUUGAAGUUCCUCGUGCUAACACACAUUCAACGAACCUCUUCGAUUUCCCGUAAUCUGUGAAUCGACAGCUGAGCGAGAUACAGCUUCUUGGAUUAGUUACUGCAUGGAAUAAUCAAUGAAAUAUAUUAUUCAAAGACUGCCAAAAAUGAAUUUGAUUUCUUGCUGUAAAAUCUACGAUUUUUUUUGAACGAUUUAUCAGAUUCGAUUGAAUUGUUUUACAUAUAUAAAAGUAAAAUAUUAAAAAAUUAAGAAAUACACAUAAAAAAAGAAGAAAGAAUAUUUAUGCAUUUUAUAUUAAGAUGAAUUAAUCUCGACUUUUUGAAUUUGGUAUCCCAUGAUUCUUUUCUCAUAUUACAAAUUUAUGGUGGAGUGCAAUUUUUCUUCCUGCAAUGCAUCAGUCAUUGAAUUGUUUUUCAAACGUUCCGCAAACUUCAAUGGAACUUUUUUAGAGGAUUUAUUCCAGUCGGAGAUAAAAGUUGCUCUAAAUGGAAAUCUCAAGAGAUUGCGAUAGUUUCUCGAGGAAGGUUCGAAAGGAUAAGAAAAUUUUUGCAAUUAAGAUUUUUUUAAUCGAAGAUCUUAUUGAAAGAUAUAUACCUAGAUUAAAGUUAUAGAGAUAUAAAAGAUGUUUCAUUUCAUCUUAAUUUUAUUGAACAUCAAAUGAUUCAUUUUACCGAAAUUCUGAUGUAAUAAUUAUAAUUGAAAUUAAAUAAAAAUAUUUAUAAGAAUAAUGGAUAUAUUUGAAUAUUAAGAAUAUAGAGAAAAUAAAAAUGAAUUUGAAAAAUAAUUUGAAAAUGAAUCUAUAUCAUAUUAUAGAUUAAAGCUGUGUGUAAUUAAUUCAGAUUGCAAUUUACGAUUAACCAAAAAGAAUCAACCUAGAACUCUAAAUUCAUCGAAUUGAUCUCUUUGAAAUCCUGCCUUUCCUAAGUAGUCAAGAUUUAAGUGGUAGGUCAUGGACGGCGCCCUUCGAUUAUCAGCCCAAUCGAAUGCUUUUACCAAAGAGGUUACUCAGAUCCGAUCAUCGAUCCUUUGCCACCCUCAUCCAAUGAACAUUUCUAAAGCUCUGCACGUGACACAUGAAUAACCAUCAGCCACAAGGUGAUACUCCUGGACCACAAGCUGAUUACGUACUAUCGUAUCCUCGAAAGUGUUUAAAUAAGAGAAUUUUGAGAUUAGAAUAAUUUUUAAUUUUUUUUUUUAGCUUUCCUUUACACAUUUGGAUUAAAGUUAAUAUUUUAUACAUAUUUAGUCAAUGAUAUAUAUCUGAUAAUAGUUAAAAUAUAAUUAAACAUAUAACUAAAGGUUGUAAUUAAAGGAUGAUAAAUUUAUUCUGAUAAUUUUUAA